GACCACAGAGCCCCGGGACCAGGCCCAGGGAGCAGUGGGGCCUGCAUGUGUUUGUGUGUGUGUGUGUGUAGGCGUGCAAGCACAGGGCAUAGGCUGGAAUGAGUGCACCAUGCCCUGGGAGCUGGUCUGCGGGUGUUUCACGGAUGUAGUCAGACACUUGGCUGGGCCUCUGCACUCCCUGAGGGAACCAGGUCACAUGGAGGGGCCUCCGGUCCUCUCAGUCUGGAGGCUCUGGCCACGCCUCCUCUGGGUUGGAGGUGAGUCUGGGGUCUUGGCCGGGGGUGGAGGUGCCAGGCGCCUGCAAGCCUGUGACCUGAGGAUGUGCUCCCCAUAGAUGAGCACCCCACUGCUCCUCCAGGACAAGGUGACCCUCGUAGAGCGUUAUGUAGCCAGCUUCCCGGACUUCCAAAGGAGAUUGCUGGCCCUCCUGGACUCCUGGUGCCAGCCUGGCUUUGACGUCAGAGUCGUGGCCAGUCCCCAAGCACCGGACGGAUCCAGAGGCCAGUCCACAGCCACAGCUGGACCACACAUGUUACACACAUAACGUGGAGGAAUGUCCCAGAGCCCGUGCUGUGUGAGAUGGCCCAGACCCAAGCGUCCGGACUCCAUCAUUCCAACGCAGCGCUGUGUCCCCAUGCUGUCACUCAGGAGCGCCUGGCCGCCCUGCACUGUCUGUGCUGUAAGUGGUUUGUGGAGGUAAGUGUGCCCUGCUUAGAGCCCCGAGCCCGGGGCUGUGGCGGGGGAGGGGUGCUCCAGGUGAGGCUGUCUCUCCAGCUUCUAGAGUGGUCGCUAGAAAAGGUCCUUGGUGCUCGCUUUUGCAGAGAAGCCUGUCUCGGGAGAACUGGACUGACCAGGUGCAGCUCCACUCCUAGGACAGCUGAGGUGCCUUUCCAAGACCAGAGGGAUGAUUACUACCAGCUGCCCAUCGCCAGAGAGGACAUCCUCUCCUUGGACUCCUGGGACCUGGCCAGGCAUGAGGAGGAGCUCCUGCAGGGGCCCGGUCCCAGGCAUCCAUCAUGCAGGUGGCGGUGGAGGGCCGUGUGUUCCUGCUGGACCUGCCUGUGCUCCCACGGCCAACAGGAGGGCAUGUGUCCCAGGCCUUCUCCAGGCUGGUGUCCCAGCUGCUCUCGGACCCCUCCAUCACUAAGUUGGGUGAGCACAGCCCCUGCCCACCCAGGGGGAGGGUCCUGGGGCGAGGUCAGGGCCCCUGCCUCAGGUGCCUGUCAUGCUGAUGGCCCUCCCUG
rnacentral:lncRNA from 1 species